GAACGAACGCUGGCGGCAGGCUUAACACAUGCAAGUCGAACGCUCGUAGCAAUACGGGAGUGGCGGACGGGUGAGUAACGCGUGGGAACGUGCCCUGAGGUACGGAAUAACUGAGGGAAACUUCAGCUAAUACCGUAUGAGCCCGAGAGGGGGAAAGAUUUAUCGCCUUGGGAGCGGCCCGCGUCGGAUUAGCUAGUUGUGGGGUAACGGCCUACCAAGGCUUCGAUCCGUAGCUGGUCUGAGAGGACGAUCAGCCACACUGGGACUGAGACACGGCCCAGACUCCUACGGGAGGCAGCAGUGGGGAAUCUUGCGCAAUGGGGCAACCCUGACGCAGCCAUGCCGCGUGAACGAUGAAGGCCUUAGGGUUGUAAAGUUCUUUACCCGUGACGAUGAUGACGGUAACGGGGGAAUAAGCUCCGGCUAACUUCGUG
rnacentral:rRNA from 1 species